CAGCACCUCAAGUGGUCAGGAUGAUUAUUGGGCCUAAAGCAUCCGUAGCCGGCGCUGUAAGUUUUCGGUUAAAUCUGUACGCUCAACGUACAGGCUGCCGGGAAUACUGCAGCGCUAGGGAGUGGGAGAGGUAGACGGUACUCGGUAGGAAGGGGUAAAAUCCUUUGAUCUAUUGAUGACCACCUGUGGCGAAGGCGGUCUACCAGAACACGUCCGACGGUGAGGGAUGAAAGAUGGGGGAGCAAACCGGAUUAGAUACCCGAGUAGUCC
rnacentral:rRNA from 1 species